GGCCCUGUAGCCCAACAGGCAGAGGCAACGCGCUCAAAACGCGUCCAGUCCCAGUUCGAAUCUGGGCAGGGCCACAA
rnacentral:tRNA from 1 species